rnacentral:tRNA from 1 species
AAGAGGUGUGUAAACAACUAGAACUGCUAACUCUU